UCACCCUGGUCGCCCUGUUGGGAGAGAAAGCAGAGAAUUAAACAGAGAAAAGCCCCGAGGGAGCGGGGUUCGGCUGGGGGGGGUCAGAUUUUAUCUCGGGUUAAAUUCAUGUUGGGUUAUA